AGUAAUAAAGAAUGAUUAGAGCGUUUAGCGAGAUAGGACAGGGAAGGUUUUAGAUAGAAGAUGAUACAGAGAUUGAAUGGUGCGUCCGAGUGAACUCGAAUCACCGACCCCCACCA
rnacentral:antisense_RNA from 1 species